rnacentral:rRNA from 1 species
AUUGAACGCUGGCGGCAUGCCUUACACAUGCAAGUCGAACGGCAGCACGGGAGCAAUCCUGGUGGCGAGUGGCGAACGGGUGAGUAAAGUAUCGGAACGUGCCCAGUCGUGGGGGAUAACGUAGCGAAAGUUACGCUAAUACCGCAUACGAUCUAUGGAUGAAAGCGGGGGAUCGCAAGACCUCGCGCGACUGGAGCGGCCGAUAUCAGAUUAGGUAGUUGGUGGGGUAAAGGCUCACCAAGCCGACGAUCUGUAGCUGGUCUGAGAGGACGACCGGCCACACUGGGACUGAGACACGGCCCAGACUCCUACGGGAGGCAGCAGUGGGGAAUUUUGGACAAUGGGCGAAAGCCUGAUCCAGCCAUGCCGCGUGCAGGAUGAAGGCCUUCGGGUUGUAAACUGCUUUUGUACGGAACGAAAAGGUUUGGCCUAAUAAGCUGAGCUCAUGACGGUACCGUAAGAAUAAGCACCGGCUAACUACGUGCCAGCCGCCGCGGUAA